GCCCCGGUCGGCAACCGUAGAGUCAACCGCGCUUCGAACGCGGAUUAGUGCAGGUUAAAAUCCUGCUCGGGGCGCCA
rnacentral:tRNA from 1 species